AGUCUCAUCUAAUUUAAUAGUUUACGGUUUGAAACAGACCGCAGCCCACUGUUUGGGUGUUUGCUUUUAGCAAUUCUUUUUCUCUAGAUGGUUUUAGCAUUUAGAAUCCUCUUAACGAAACCUUGAAAAGAAUCAAAAGCGGCUUUGUUGAAAUAGUGAUAUUAUUACUUGCAUCGGUCUAAGAGACUUGCUAACUUUGCU
rnacentral:lncRNA from 1 species